GAUGAACGCUGGCGGCGUGCUUAACACAUGCAAGUCGAACGGAAAGGCCCUUGCUUGCAGGGGUACUCGAGUGGCGAACGGGUGAGUAACACGUGGGUGAUCUGCCCUGCACUUCGGGAUAAGCCUGGGAAACUGGGUCUAAUACCGGAUAGGACCAUCGUUUAGUGUCGGUGGUGGAAAGUUUUUUCGGUGUGGGAUGAGCUUGCGGCCUAUCAGCUUGUUGGUGGGGUAAUGGCCUACCAAGGCGUCGACGGGUAGCCGGCCUGAGAGGGUGUACGGCCACAUUGGGACUGAGAUACGGCCCAGACUCCUACGGGAGGCAGCAGUGGGGAAUAUUGCACAAUGGGCGCAAGCCUGAUGCAGCGACGCCGCGUGGGGGAUGACGGCCUUCGGGUUGUAAACUCCUUUCGUCAGGGACGAAGCGAAAGUGACGGUACCUGGAGAAGAAGCACCGGCUAACUACGUG
rnacentral:rRNA from 1 species